UUCAUUGGUUUUUUACACAAAACAUUUGUUGUUCUCUACGCAUUCUGAGCGAAGCGAACCUUGAAGUUGAUGGACCUCAAAGCUGACCGAGAAGGCAACAUCUGUUGUGCCCUAGUCUGCCCUGCCGUGGUUGUGUGUGCCGUGGUAGCUUCAGUGCCGUGACUGUUCUGUGACUUGCGAGCCCCCCUUUCACAGGUCCUUGCCUUUAGGGACAUAGAUCCACAAGCUCCUACCCAUAUUCUAAUCAUUCCUAAAGUUAGGGAUGCAUGGUUGAUUGGUCUGUCCAAGAUAUAAAAAUUGGAGGUGUAACAAGCAAAAAGGGCAGAAAAAUUGAAGAAAAGAAGAAAAUUUGAAGAAGGCCCAGCCCAAUACACGUGCUCAGCGCGCGUCACGGGCUAAGCGGGCCAGGAAGUACACGCGCUAAGCGUGCCUAUGAAGGCCCAAAGCCCACUUCAGCAGCUAUAAAUAGAGAGCCAGUCCAAGGGACAGGACCACCACCACAGAACCCCCUCUCCUAGGGGUUUCAUUUACUCCCUUUCUUUCUUUCACCCCCCUUCUCAUUGUAAAGCCCCUCAUGACCAUGAGUGGCUAAUCCCCUAGCUAGGGUCUGAUAGGCCUAAAAAGUCAAUGAUGUAUGGAGCAUUUCAAGAGUUAUCAAUAAAAAGAGGAAUUCCUUCCAGGUUCUUUUA